GUCUAGGGCCAUACCACCCUGAAUGCACCAAUCUCAUCUGAUCUCGGAAGCUAAGCAGGGUCGGGCCUGGUUAGUACCUGGAUUGGAAACGAUGAAGAUGGAGACA
rnacentral:rRNA from 1 species